ensembl:rRNA 5S_rRNA 5S ribosomal RNA
GCCAGCAGCUAGCUCUCUGUAGCUCUCAAACUGUCGCCCACUGAGGCUAAGCAGGGCUGUGCCCGAUAUGUAUCUGGAUGGGAGACCACAUGGUAAAGCUAUAGGUUGCUGCUGGAA